GACGGAAUCACCCAGAGCAGGCGGAACGGGACGCUCGGGAGCGGGGCACCGAGCCGGGCUCUUUUCCCGUCGGACCGGACGCCCGCUUCCGGUUUUUGCUGAGGUGCCCCGCACGCGUCGCCGUUGCCUGCCUGCGCCGCUCGCUCGGCGGACGCGCCAUGCCAAAAAUACCAAAGGGCAGAGGAGGAGGGCAAGAGAAAAAAGUCAUCCAUCCUUACAGCAGAAAGGCUGCUCAGUUUACGAGAGAAGCACACAAACAGGAAAAAAAGGAAAAGUUGAAGAAUGAAAAAGCCUUGCGUCUGAGUAUUGUAGGAGAAAAAUUGCAAUGGUUUCAAAGUCACCUUGAUCCCAGCAAAGCAGACUACACAAAGAAAGAAGCCUGUGAACUAAUUGAAAAAUAUUUACAUCGAUUCAGUGAUGAGCUGGAGCAGAUUGAGUUACAUAACAGCAUUAAAGGCAGACAGGGAAGGCAGCACAGUUCCCGGGAGAUAAUCAUCAAACAGACCAUAGAGCAUGAAAGACAACUCUAUGAAGGAUAUGGGAUAGACAUUCCUGACAUUGUGAAUGGCAAACAUCUUAAAAUUUUCAGAGAAUGGGAUGGUGAUCUGAAGAAACUGCCAAACAUUAAAAUGAGAAAAGUCUCUACUAAAAAUGCUGUUUGCAGUAGGACAGAGAUGGCAAAUGGGGAAGCUGAAGAGGAAUUAGAUACAGCAAAAGACACAGACUAAUGAGCACCAGCUGAUACGAAAGAUGAAACAGCUGAAAGAGACUGCCAGGAACCUAUUUGAACUAUCACUGGAAGAAGGAAUAAAGCUGAUUUUUCGCUGUGAAGAACAAGAACAUUUGCCUACCUGAGAAUCACCUUUCUUCUAGCAUGGAAGUCGGCAGAUCCAACCCACCCACCACAAGGUUAUAGUUCUGAGCGAGACUUCAACUGUUGCCCUCUCCUCCAUUUUCUUUUUUGGGCACAUAUGUACAUAUUGUAUAUAUUCGCUGUUAAUUGGGGUGGAAUUUGAAGUUACUCUCGUUUAGGAAGGGUUUAUAUACAUUUGUUGUUCUACCUAAUAACCUGGGAAUUAAGGUUUAAAGGAAUUAGCUCUACAAAGCAGGUCUAGAAGGAUCUUGAACUGGCUUGCUAGAUGGGUCUUCAAAAGUGUGGCCUCUCCCAGCCUGCUUUGACUGACUGACCUGGUGUUUGCCUCCAAGGAGCUGCAACUAUGAGUAAGAUCCAUUAUAAUGGAGCUGCAGACUGUCACUGUAAAGAAAAUGUUCAGGUAGGUUUUUUUUUUUUUUUAAAAAAGGCUCCUAAUAUGGAGCCUCACAAUACCAUUUUAGUAAGCUAUUCCACAGAACCGUUCUUUAAGCAUCUACGCUUAAACUGUUACCUUAAAAAUGUGUGUACAGUGGCAUGAAAAUAUUCUGUGCAAAGUGUCAUGAGGCGUAUAAUAAAACUCUGCUUACAACUUUAACUAUGGAUUUGAUACUGAGUAGUUUUGUAAUCGGAGUAACUCUUAAUUACCAUAAUUCAAAUACUCUGACCAAUUUUCUACAUAAAUGGAACAGCUGUGUCAUUCUAUAACUAGUUCAUUAUUAGAAAUGAACAAAUAGAACAAACCAACAUUUACAUAGAGAGCCUGGACUAAAUACUGGUCUCUCAUUCACUGCUCUAAAAACAUAGGCUUGCUCCAGUUGAGGUAAAAGAAGCUCUCUGUUAUGCUGUCAGCCCUGAUUUAUAUUCUUGAAGCUAUAUCCAAUCAAGAAGGGCAGCAUGCUUAUUGAGAAUGACUGGGUCACCGUGUUAUUCCCUAGCCAACUACAAAGUGAUCUUGUCCAAAAUUCUUAUUUAUUUUGCAGCUUUAGAAAGAUAAGCAGCAAAUGUCAAGGUGAGAUUGCUAACAGUUCGCAAUAAAACCUUGCCUGAGCUUCCCCUCAGACUGGUAUAUGCCCAGAGCUGCUCUCUGCAGAGCUUCCUGUACCUAGCUGUUUUACCUCUGAGAGCCACUGAGCUUUUAUUGGUUGCUGAACUGGUUCAAGUGAAACCCACCUAAUUUUGUUACUACAAGUGGUCUUUCUUCAAAGAGAGAUUUACAGACAACAUGUCUGGCUUUAGGAACAUCUUACAUUGCUACAACAAUUCCUGUGUAAAUUUGCUUAAGAACAAUCUAAUUUCUUCAAACUAUAGACUGUGUACUAGCUCUUAAGGAAUUUUAACUAUAUGGCAAGUUUGAAGGAGUAAUAAGCUAGUUUUUGCUUUCUCCAAGAGCUUCAAACUGCAUGCAAAGCACCAACUGGAAUAAACAAAGAAGUGCUGUUUUAAUUCCCAUUUCCUCAGUGUAACUAUAAAAGAGGAUACUCCAUGCUGUACUGCAUACAUCUUACCAAAAGAUAUGUGACUUCUCAGGCAAAGUGAUCAACUGCACACCUAAGAUCAAGUUGAAUGAUGCAUCAGGAAGUACCUACUGCUGUGAAGGUAGGGUGGAGUCCUGGUCAUCUCUAAGGUUGCAACCAAGUUCCAACAUAAGCUUUAUUUUAGGUGCCCAAAUUUUAGCAAAGGACAAUUUUUUUUUCCAGAAAAGGUAGGAAAAAAAAUGGGCUAUAAGGUUACCCUUCAUGGACAUUAGUCAAACAUUACUUCAGGUUACCCACAAUUCCCUACUUUUAAAAUAAAUGUAGCUCUGUAUUUGUAUACAAUGGAUAGAAAUGAACAUGUCUAAUAAAAGCAGUUCACUCAUUUUUAUUGUAAUAAAAUGCACUUUGUUUUUACUGGCAAAGUUGGGCAUGUAGAUCUGUUUAAACUAUGAAAUUUUCUUUAUACCUUGGCAAGGUUGGCUUAGAUGAUUUCUGCUGCAACUCUUAAGAACAUGUUCUCUCAAGGAGCACUGUGAUCCAUUGGUCUUGGAGGCAAUGGAUACCCUUUAAUGUGAACACCCCUGCUUCAACACUUUAGAUGUCAUUGGAUAAUGUCAGUCUGUUUUGUUUUAAAUAGAUUAUCCAGAGCAUAGUUGUAGCAGUCUAUCAUAUAAAAAUGGUGGGGCCCAUACUUGCUUGAAUUCUGUGCAAAGAGGCUUUUAAAACUUAACCAAAAUCUUUUCCUGGGUGCAUAGCUUGAGACAAUGGGGAGGGGUCAGAAAGAUGGAAUCCUCCCAACAAAUUCAGUUAUAAUUAUGCUUGGAGUUCUGCCUGUGGAGAAAAAUGGGAGGUGAAAAUGUUUUGUCCUGUUGAAGGAAUGUCACACUUAAAGCAAACAUAAAUUUUGCGUUUUUGCUUUAACAAACCAAAAUGUUUUUCUUUUGGAAACUCAAAUAUACUAUAUGGUGGUAAGAUCAUUUCUACCACUUAAAAUACAGAAAACUGCAGUGGUUUGGGUCAUUUGUUUAAUACAAAUACAAAUUUGUUCUACAACAAUUAGAAGUUAUAUUAAUUUUGUUUCCCUUAACCCCCCCACCCCCUUUCUUUCAGUACAUAUUCACUCACAAAAACCAACUCUUUUUGGAAAAGAGAAUGGGGUUAAACAAGUAACAACUCUUAGUUCCAAGUAUUACAGUGUAAAAUAUUUUCUUCAUAGAUUAAGUGUCACGGUGGUGUACAGAAUUAUAAAAAAGGGCUUGAUCUGAUGAUGGGGAAUGUAUAGUUAUGGACAGGCCAGGAAAAUAAGCACUUGCUUUCAGCUAUAGCGCUAUGUGAAAUAGUACCAUUAGACUGGGUAAAAAUCCUCAUCAUACUAACACAAAGGUAAGUGGUGCAUUGUCACUGUUUUAAAAUGAAUAAAUGAAAGCAUUAGUUCUGGAAAUGGAAACAGAUUUUAAGAAACCAGGAAAGAAGAGAUCCAUGUCCACCUAGGGGACAGAAGCAUUUUGUUUCACAAUUCCUCACUAAUAGUAGUAAUUCUGCAAUCCUUAUCCAAGCAAAACUGCCACUGAAGUUAAAGGGAGUGUUGCUCAAGCAAGAAGGAAGAAUUUGGCUUCAUAUCAGUGCAGUCUACCUGGGACUGACCACAUCUACAAAAGGGCAGCUUACAAUGAGUGUUCAUCCCAGAGCUGAUCCUGCAGUUCUUAGCCAGUCCAAAUUCCACUUAGGUCAGCGGUGUUUUGCCUGAAUGAGGAUGCAUUUGAUUACCAAGCCUGUGGUUCAGCAACUUAUGUAUAUGUAGGUUUUACUGAUCUUUAACUUCUUCUCAAAAUAAAUUA